GAGAGAGAGAGAGGAGACCACACCCACGACAAAACACACACCACAGAGAAACGGACAGGGGGAGACAAGAAACACCAGGGAAGGGAAAAACACUGGAAAUAUCAGGAAAGACUGGAGUUAUGCGAUUACAGUGUCGUACACUGGUGUCCAGUUCUGCUCUAAAAUCAAUAUACAGUUUACCCAAACAGGAGCAGAAAAUGUGCUGACAAGAGUUUGGCAAAUCUGUCCAAUCACAGUGGAGGAGGGGCGGGACAAAUCCCACGAAGACCAACCGUUACAUGUAGGCUACAAAUGCUGAACAAUGACAACAAUGGAGGAGAAAUUAAUAUUGCUGGUCUCUGAGUAUCCAUGUCAGUACCAGAUGACAUCCCCGGACUACCACAAUAUCAAUAUGAAAAAUAAGGCUUGGAGGAACAUUUCGUUCGCCAUGGGUUUAACAGGAGAAACCAGCCUCUGGACUCUGCUGCCAGCCCAUUACAAAUGGUUAUGGUGAGGAGGUGAACUGUUUUUAGAGCGGAUAAGAGCAGCUGAUUGGAUUGGCCAUUACUGAAGCUCACCUCAACUCCACCUGCUGAUAUUGUACUGCUCUUUCUAACAGUGUAUUCAUCCUGCUCCAGUCUCAUUUUCCUGAUUGCUCUGACAUGCAGCAGAAGUAGUGCUAGAAGUAGAGAAAAAUGUGUCUGUUGAUAACUUCACCUCUGCCUCAGACAGAAAGGAAGUGGAAAAGAAUUGAGCAUCAGAAAAAUGUUGUGUCAUUAGACAGGAGAAAGCCUGAGGAAUAAAGGAAUAUUAUUGUUG